rnacentral:rRNA from 1 species
GACGAACGCUGGCGGCGUGCUUAACACAUGCAAGUCGAACGGAGUGGCGAACGGGUGAGUCACACGUGGGUGAUCUGCCUUGCACUUCGGGAUACGGUUGGGAAACUGGGUCUCAUAUCGGAUCGUGCAAGAUGGGCUCGCGGCCUAUCAGCUUGUUGGUGGGGUAAUGGCCUACCCAGGCGUCGACGGGUAGCCGGCCUGGGAGGGGGUACGGGCACAAGGGGACUGAGAUAGGGCCCAGAGGCGUACGGGGGGCAGCAGUGGGGAAUAUUGCACAGUGGGCGGAAGCGUGAUGCGGCGACGCCGGGUGGGGAAUGAAGGCCUUGGGGUGGUAAACUCCAUUAGACAGGGACGCGGUACCUGUAUAAGAAGCACCGGCUAACUACGUGCCAGCAGCCGCGGUAAUAC